UACAGGAUCCUUUAAUAAAAGAUCGCUUAUUUGUGCGUUGCAAUAACUCUCUAAUAACCGAACGCGCUUAUUGUUAAAUUAAUAUUGGGCAUUCGCUGUAAACCAGAAAGAGUCAGUCAGUUUUCUUUUACUUGAGCGCAUUGAAAAUAUCUAAUUUUUGGGUUAUUUUUUUAAAUAAUAUAUGGUUCUAUGAAUUAGCAGAUUUUUUUCGGAUGUUCGGAUUUUUCAGUGAAGUAGCAUGAAGCCUUCGAGUAUAAAAUAAAAGAUAUUUUAUAUUCUAUGCUCCAAACUACUAAUAUUCUAUGACUAUUAAUACAUGUUUGUUUUUUUCGUUAGUUAUUCUACUCUGUUAUCUGUGGUUAGUUAAGAAUUUGUGGUUAAACUCGACUUGUUUGUUAGGUUUUUUUAAAAUACAUUCUAAGAAAAUGUUCGAUUUCGCCGACACAAUUGCUCUUUUAUUAGGAAUAAUCAUUGGUACUCUUGGUCUAUUAGCUUGUCUAGGAGCUUAUGCCAGAAGGAAAAUGUACAUUGAACAGAUAUGAAGGAAAAUAUUGGAGAAAUAAAAUUUCCGAAAUACACAUUAACUAUUAUUUUAUUGUUUGAAAAAUGUAAUAAGAAAAAUUCAAUGUUAUAAUAUUGUAUCAACCAUUAUUUUAUUGUGGAGUAAAUGUAAAUAAACUUCACCAAAAAUGUAUAA